CCUUAGAGCGCCAUCCGCACUUCAGUCGCAGUUCCCAAAGUGUGCAUGUUGUUUUCCGCCUGGUGAAUUAUAGUGUUUGAGACUCUGUUAGUGAGUUUUCUCUUCACACAAGGUCUGUGCAUAAGGACAAAUAUGCCAGAACUGCCAAAAAAAAGAAAAAUCUAAGGGAGCGCUUACAGUUAAAUUGGAGGUCCUAAAGAUUAGUUGGGCAAGAUUAAAAAUAUCGAAGAGAAUCGGCUUUCAUGUUGAUGCAUGUUCGGGUUCGGUCCUGUGGGUUGGGUUCGGGUUUGGUCGGCUGGGGUCGGGUUUGGUAGGCUGCGGGUCAUCUGCGAGAACUACUUACCUUGGCGGAGGGAUUACGGACCGGGCAAAAUGGUGUUACACGGUCCGGUCAACUGAACUGUAAUCUACCCGAUCUAAGUCUAGGACAUUGUUCUCUGACGUUUUUUCCGAGCCGUCAACGGCGCAGGCUCGUUACGAAUAGCUGCGAUCGGCAACAUCGUCAUCACUUUGCGCUUAGCUGGUCACGUGAUACAACAGCUACACAAGGUCAUACGAACAAAUCUGUACGAAAUAUGUUGUAAUGGCCACAGCAAGGAAGUUUCUUAACAUAAAGUUGAAGGAAACUGCUGCUCCCGGCGCUGCUUUUGUGUUUAGCAGUGUGCAAGAUCAUUUAGUAUGUCAGCUUGUAAAAAGGUGUGAGUAGUGUGUAUAGCCUUAGGAUGUCAAGAGGACAUCACUAUUAUUACCAUUGACGUAGGUAAACGGUACCAAAAGAAGUAUGUAGAGAGGAUGUCCGACCUGCUUGAUGUAAACGCGCAUGCGCACUGGUCAUGUCUAUUUUUAGCAACGGGACAGUUGCCGAUCGCUAAGGUCACCAUCACAUCAUAACCACUGGAAAUAUUUUACCACCUGCAGCAACUUAUCAGAUCCCUGUGGAACAUCUACGCAGAAGCCACAUUAUGCAGAGGUGAGGCGACGGACCACGAAACCUUCGCUUCGGAUGUGACUGACUGAUGUGGAGCAUAUGAAAGGAGGGAACUCAUCAAAUAUGUCCAGGAGAUAGCGGAGUGAACUUCCUGACUGAGUGGAGCAUAUGAAAGGAGAGAAUGUUUUUGAUGAGUUCUCGCCUUUCAUAUGCUCCCCAUCAAUCAGGAGGUACACCCCACUGUCUCCUGGUCAUAUAUGAUGAAGAGUUCCCUCCUUUCAUAUGCUCCAUUUGAUAUGACUAGUUAGUUUUAUCGCAUCUGGCCAGAUACUGCUAAGUUUCAGGACAAUAAAACAUGAUUAAAAUAUCACAACCUUUCAAUUUAUUAGAUUUUUGUAAUUUACGCGAUCUAUGCUGCCCACCGCCAAAAAAUUAAACACUGAGGCAUUCAGAA